GUUUAUUUGGGAGAAAGAGACCAAAAUGUUGCUCAAUUCCUGCUUCUUUUAGGUUCUCAUCGAACAUUGAGAACAAGUAUGUCUCCGCGGCCUGUCCUGACUUCUUGGGAGUCCCUUGCUUUACAUGAUUGAUCAAGUUUCUAUAGUAGGUGCCUGCAUUAUUAACUUUUGCUACAUCGCCACCUUCAGAUGGCCAACCACUCUCUGAUACAACAAUUUGCAAAUUGGGGCUGCCUGCUUUCUCAAGAGCAGAAUAAAGAGAAUCCAACAAUGCAUCAAACAGAUUUUGAUAUCCAUAUUGACCAUCCGUAACCACAAUUCCUGGUUCAGUAAACAAGGCAUAUUCAAGACUGAUACUUUGUGGGUCAUUAGUAUAGCUAAAAUAAGGGUAUAUAUUUGCAAGAAGUGGUGCUCCAUUUGUGGCUAUGAAGUUGAUUUGCAGUUUCACUAAAUGAGUCAUUUGAUGGAGGGUAUGAUAUGCCCAACAAAGUUGUGUCUAUUGCUGUGGAAACCUUAAUUUGGUCUUGUAAAUUGGCUGCUACUAUUGCAUUAUGAACAUUCUGCAUCGCUGGUAAAACAUACUUUGCAUUUGCGUCUCCAGGAUGCACUUCAUUUCCUACAGCAAUGUAGCGGAAUUUGACAUCAGAUGCAUAGGCUACAACGUGUUUUGGACCCAAGUUGUUGCAGCUGAGGCAUCAGCAAGGUCUUGAAAUUUGUCAUUGGAAACACCAAGGAUGAGUUCUAUGCUUG
rnacentral:misc_RNA from 1 species